AGAUGCAUGCUCGAGCGGCCGCCAGUGUGAUGGAUAUCUGCAGAAUUCGCCCUUAGAGUUUGAUCAUGGCUCAGGACGAACGCUGGCGGUGCGCCUUAUGCAUGCAAGUCGAGCGAAGCUUUUCAGUAGUUUACUACAGAAAAUGACUGAGCGGCGAACGGGUGAGUAACGCGUGAGCAACCUACCUUAGUUACUGGGAUAGCCCGAGGAAACUCGGAUUAAUACCGGAUAUUCUUAUUUAAUCACAUGAUUUUUUAAGGAAAGGUCAGCCGAACUAAGAUGGGCUCGCGUUCUAUCAGCUAGUUGGUAGGGUAACGGCCUACCAAGGCUACGACGGAUAGCUGGUCUGAGAGGACGAUCAGCCACACUGGGACUGAGACACGGCCCAGACUCCUACGGGAGGCUGCAGCAGGGAAUAUUGUGCAAUGAACGAAAGUUUGACACAGCGACACCGCGUGUGGGAUGACGGAUCUAGGUUUGUAAACCACUUUCAGGAGGGAAGAAAAUGACGGUACCUCCACAAGAAGCCCCGGCCAACUACGUGCCAGCAGCCGCGGUAAUACGUAGGGGGCGAGCGUUGUCCGGAUUUAUUGGGCGUAAAGAGCUCGUAGGCGGUUCAACAAGUCGGUCGUGAAAGUUCAGGGCUCAACCCUGAAAUGUCGAUCGAUACUGUUGUGACUAGGAUACGGCAGAGGUGAGUGGAAUUCCGAGUGUAGCGGUGAAAUGCGUAGAUAUUCGGAGGAACACCAAUUGCGAAGGCAGCUCACUGGGCCGCUAUCGACGCUGAGGAGCGAAAGCUAGGGGAGCAAACAGGAUUAGAUACCCUGGUAGUCCUAGCUGUAAACGAUGGAUACUAGAUGUAGGAAUUGGUUUAACGAUUUCUGUAUCGUAGCUAACGCGUUAA
rnacentral:rRNA from 1 species